rnacentral:rRNA from 1 species
AUUGAACGCUGGCGGCAGGCUUAACACAUGCAAGUCGAGCGGGGUGAUGGUGCUUGCACUAUCACUUAGCGGCGGACGGGUGAGUAAUGCUUAGGAAUCUGCCUAUUAGUGGGGGACAACAUCUCGAAAGGGAUGCUAAUACCGCAUACGUCCUACGGAGAAAGCAGGGGAUCACUUGUGACCUUGCGCUAAUAGAUGAGCCUAAGUCGGAUUAGCUAGUUGGUGGGGUAAAGGCCUACCAAGGCGACGAUCUGUAGCGGGUCUGAGAGGAUGAGCCGCAACAUUGGGACUGAGACCAGGCCCAGACUCCUACGGGAGGCAGCAGUGGGGAAUAUUGGACAAUGGGGGGAACCCUGAUCCAGCCAUGCCGCGUGUGUGAAGAAGGCCUUAUGGUUGUAAAGCACUUUAAGCGAGGAGGAGGCUCUUUUGGUUAAUACCCAAGAUGAGUGAACGUUACUCGCAGAAUAAGCACCGGCUAACUCUGUGCCAGCAGCCGCAGUAA